UUUUGGCACGUGUUCUCUAUAAACAGAAGUAGGUUACAUGAACGCGCUACACGUGUUGCAUACUGCUGACGUUAUCACAUACUUUGGACAUAGGAGUUUUAUGCGACGCAUUUUGCAAUUGUCACUCUUUUUAUGUAUAUAACAAGAAAACUUGUCGUUUUGUUGAUUAAAUUUAAAAUGCAGUGGCAGCCCUAGCGAAGCAGUUAUUAGCGAUCUCGCGGGCGCACGCGCACCUAGAAAUUAGUUCAACUCGACUCCAAUUGGAUCGGUUGCGUGAGUCGUGCCGUGGGAAAGCCUGGUGAAAAGAGAACGAAGAUUCAUUAUUUUAGUUUAAGAAUUAUGUUUUUUUUUUUGUAAUUUCAAAUGUACACGGAAUCUCGAAAGGAAGUCGUAAUUGCAUUGUUGUAAACUUCAUAACUCAAUUAAAUUUUUUUACAGUCUAAUAUUUAAACUAUGAAUUUUUAAUUUAAGCUACAGUAAUAUUAAACAAACGGUCUGGUCAUAAAUAAUGUUAAAUUUAAAAUGAAGCAUUAUAUUUGAUUUUGGAACCUGUCAUUCUCAUGUGUUUUUUUUUAUAUUUUGUAACAUUAAACAAACGGUCUGGCCAUAAAUAAUGUUAAAUUUAAAAUGAAACAUUAUAUUUGAUUUUGGAACUUGUCGUUCUCGUGUGGAUUUUCAUAUUUUCGCGGUAUUAUUCGUUAAAUAUUCUUGUGAUGUUACAAUGAAGCGGGAUUAUCAAGACAACUGGAUUGCUGUGAUAGCAUUUCACAAAGUAGAUACGUAUCCAUUUUUUUAAACCCAUCUUCUGCUCCGUGUUAGUCAAACGUGUGUGUACCGCGUACAGUGGUACUUCCUUUGUUUAUACCAAAAAUAUCUGUCCGUUUAGGUGCGUAGUAUUCAUAUUAAAAAAGGCAAUCCAAUCAGUGAAGCGAAUAUUAUCAUAUUACUGUACAUUAAAAAGUAAAACACAUAAAAA